GACGAACGCUGGCGGCGUGCUUAACACAUGCAAGUCGAACGGACAGGCCCUGCUUUUGCGGGGUGCUCGAGUGGCGAACGGGUGAGUAACACGUGAGUAACCUGCCCUUGACUUUGGGAUAACUUCAGGAAACUGGGGCUAAUACCGGAUAGGAGCUCCUGCUGCAUGGUGGGGGUUGGAAAGUUUCGGCGGUUGGGGAUGGACUCGCGGCUUAUCAGCUUGUUGGUGGGGUAGUGGCUUACCAAGGCUUUGACGGGUAGCCGGCCUGAGAGGGUGACCGGCCACCAUGGGACUGCGAUACGGCGCAGACGCCUACGGGAGGCAGCAGUCGGGAGUAUUGCACAAUGGGCGGGAGCCUGAUGCAGCAACGCCGCGUGCGGGAUGACGGCCUUCGGGUUGUAAACCGCUUUCGCCUGUGACGAAGCGUGAGUGACGGUAAUGGGUAAAGAAGCACCGGCUAACUACGUG
rnacentral:rRNA from 1 species